GCCCUCGUAGCUCAGCUGGAUAGAGCACCAGACUUCUAAUCUGAUGGUCGCAGGUUCGAGUCCUGCCGGGGGCG
rnacentral:tRNA from 1 species